ensembl:lncRNA
AGGAGGUCAUCAAAAUCCCUGAAAAGUAGUUUCUCAUUGUUGGAAGGGUGUUUGCAUGGCACCACAUCCUGUGCAGUGAGGUGAGCUGUGCCCCUCUGGUGAGUCAGUCACAUUAACCCUGGUUAAACACAGUGAGCACGCAGCGUUUGACGUAAGCACAUGUCACAGCAGUGCAGAGCGAGCAGGACAAACAGAACGGCUUUGACAGCAGUCCACAGGUCUCAGUGGAAAACAAUAGAAAAAGAGGGUAUUGGGUUAAACAAAAGAGUGAGUAUGAUUCAACAUCCGUUACUAAGCCCCGCCUCCAUCCACGACUGAUUGACAGCUGACAUUGUGUCUCUGGAUGAAAGCUGUGCGAAUAAAGGCUCCCGCUUCAGUUACCAUCAGUACCUCUCUAAAGACCGUCACAGAAGCUCUUCAGCCAGAGGAACACCUCUCAGUCAAUUCAGUUCCCAUUUCUCUUUCUUCAGCAUGAGGCACAUCACAUUAUACUACACUGGGGCUGCAUUCCUCUUCUUGCUGUUCUCUGCAACAGGUGCUGAGCCCUACACUAUUGUAAGGAUUUUGGAGGGCCUCCAGGCAGAGCCCCAGACCUCCCCUUCACCCCUGAACUCAUUCUCCCUCUGCAUGGAGAUCAAGAACCGCGUCUUCAGCGACGCUCUCCUCAACUCAACCUCACAGCAGUACAAGCAGAUGUAUGCUGAGGUCGCUGGAGUUCUGGACAUCGCCUUUAACUGCUCUGACUGUGACACAAGAGACACCUACAGAGGAGUGACAAACAUACAGUUCAGUAACGGGUCUGUGAUCGCAAACUGUACCAUCCAGUUCCAGACUAUUUUCAUCAACCAUGUUAUGCUCAAGCAUUUGUUCCUGAGGGCCAUAGAUAAUAAGACUUUCGUCAACGGUCUUGCAGUCAACAGACAGUACACAGCUGAAAUAGUCGCACCUGCCUGGCUUUUUUCAAAGUCAACCACUUUUGCAGAAUCUAGUGCUGAGGGUCUUCCUGGGUGGGCCAUUGCAUUGCUAGUGCUAGCAUGCAUCAUCAUACUGCUUAUGUUCCUCGUCUUACUACUGUUAUGCUUUUGGUGCUGUAGGAGAAAAGCUAAAAAGGAAGAAACACAAACCAUUGCUCCGUAUGAGAGAACGUCUUACAAAGAACAUCUUUCUGAUCCCACAUAUCUGUCACACACACCUGAGAAGAGGCCCAACUACCAGAGCAUGGGAGAACCAGAAGCACAACAUGACAACCGAGCCGGGAUCUACAUGAUGAAUCCUCAGAGAUGAAAACCACAACACUGCUAUAAGAGAGAGGCGUGGAGGAACCCAUGCUAUGAAGGUCAGGAUGGUAAAGUGGCUUCUCUCAUAGAAGAUGCUGUUUUUCUAAAAAUGUGGACUUGUCAACAUUACUAUGUGUAAUCUAAGUAUUAUACACAACUGGACUGAACUAUUUCUGUGCUUUUUCUGAAGCACAAAUAUGGGCAUUUGGGUCUGUGAACUUUUGCAUCUCUUACUCUAUUUCUGUUUUACUUUGCUCACGGCGCAUACUCUUCAACAGUACGCAGAUAUGUUGUGCACGCUCUAUAUCACUUCAUCAUUAAUAACCCGCACAAGAAAUAUGAGCAUACAUACCCAGUUCUGUCGUCAGUCAUGCAAUCUCCAAAAAGAUGAUUAAAGCUGCAAACUUUGCAUGCAAGAACGUCGCUCAAAUGCAUGUACUAAAACAUAUUCUAUAAUUCGAGAAUAACUGUGUAUUUUUAUUUGUAAUUUAACGCAUAGAUAAAUGUGAGCACAGUGCACUUAUACUAGUAUAAGUGUACUGUGUUCACAUUUAAUUGUGCAUUAAAUUACACAUUUUACAAAUCUAGUAGAAUAUAUAUGAUAAUGGAAAUUGAAAUGCAUAAAAUAACAAAUUUUAUAUCCUGGCAUUUAUGUCUAAUGUUGACUUCCAUUUCCCCAUCUUUCUUGCGUGUCUUAUCCAUUAGUAUGCAAUAUUGGAGAGCAAGCAUUUGGGAGUUUUGAGAAGUUGAAUGAGCAAUAAAGCUAUAGUGGGCCCCUUUAUAAAAUACCUGGAGGUGGGGAAUAAUACAAAAAUUGUCAUAUUCACUGAGUAUGACUUGAUCUAAUUCACUAUUAUCUCAAUUACAGCUUAUUAGAAAUUAAUUGUACUUAGUUGUGUUUUUGGAAAGAAAACAUUUCAGUACAUUAUAGUCAAACACAUUUUUAUAUUGAAAUAAUGAAGAUUUCUGUGCCACCCCAGACUGGUUGCUGGCCCCUCCCUGGCCACCCCGAUGAAAACAUCCUGGCUCCGCCACUGCAUAAGACCGGGGCUAGUUGUCACAUUCUAUACUUCACUAAAUAGGUUAGGUUUAUAUUUUCAAGAAAGCCUUUGAACAUUUGCACUGUUUCAAAAAUAUUUCAUUUAAAGUGUACUUUAUUUUGAUAUUCAGUGGUGUGACUGAAAUUUCAGACAGUAAAACAAUUAUAAAACAGAAUAAUUUUUUGACUGAAGGAUUUGCAUAUGUGACAUUUUGCCCCGGUCUCUUUUACUGUAUAUCGAAGGCUACUGUAGAAGAGUAGGUCUCCUAAAUUGAAAUAUUUUAUUUUUGAUACUGCAUGUGAUGGGGUCUGGUGUCUCCAGAUUACAAGUCUAUCAAUUCAUAAAUGCCUUUUGAUUUGUCAUUUGCAUUUGUGUUAAUUGUAUGGUCAUUUACACUUAUUAAUACACUUUCUGGGGGUAGAGCUGUUGUAUUCGAUGCACAAUACUUCAGCAAAACAAUAUUGUACCAGGUACAUUAUAAAUAAAUAAACUGUAUCCAAUGUAUACAACUGUGUGUGUGUGUGUGUGUGUGUGUUUUAUUUAUUUGUGUGUUUAUUUUAUUUUUUUAAUAUAUUCUUGUUUGAUGAAUGGCUGUCCUCUUCUCAAUUUAGUCAUUUCAUCUGAAUAUCAACGGUAAUGGGAUUUAGUCAGUUAAAACAGGUUAAGUGAUCAAAUUUUCUGUCUUUGGAAUAAUUUUUGGAUUUAUGGAGUAAAACACAGUUUUUUUUUUUUUUUUUUAAGUGAACAGAUGAACCGAAGUACUUAUUCCAUUAAUCACUGAAUAAUAAGAAUAAAGUAAAAAUCAUUAAUAAAGGAAUUAGUUGAUAGUUUAUUAGCUUUUACUGAAGUCCUGUAAAAUAGGCUGUAUUUAAAC